UACGUAGGGUGCAAGCGUUGUCCGGAAUUAUUGGGCGUAAAGAGCUCGUAGGCGGUUUGUCGCGUCUGCUGUGAAAACUCAGGGCUUAACUCUGAGCUUGCAGUGGGUACGGGCAGACUAGAGUGCGGUAGGGGAGACUGGAAUUCCUGGUGUAGCGGUGAAAUGCGCAGAUAUCAGGAGGAACACCGGUGGCGAAGGCGGGUCUCUGGGCCGUAACUGACGCUGAGGAGCGAAAGCGUGGGGAGCAAACAGG
rnacentral:rRNA from 1 species